rnacentral:rRNA from 1 species
UACGGAGGAUGCAAGCGUUAUCCGGAAUCAUUGGGCGUAAAGCGUCCGUAGGUGGCGCUUCAAGUCUGCGGUCAAAGGGCAAGGCUUAACCUUGUAAAGGCCGUGGAAACUGAAGGAGCUAGAGUGCGGUAGGGGUAGAGGGAAUUCCCAGUGUAGCGGUGAAAUGCGUAGAGAUUGGGAAGAACACCGGUGGCGAAAGCGCUCUACUGGGCCUGCACUGACACUGAGGGACGAAAGCUAGGGGAGCGAAAGGG